rnacentral:rRNA from 1 species
GUUGAGCGCUGAAGGUUGGUACUUGUACCGACUGGAUGAGCAGCGAACGGGCGAUUAACGCGUGGGGAAUCUGCCUUUGAGCGGGGGCCAACAUUUCUAAACAAAUGCUAAUACCGCAUAACAACUUUAAACACAAGUUUUAAGUUUGAAAGAUGCAAUUGCAUCACUCAAAGAUGAUCCCGCGUUGUAUUAGCUAGUUGGUGAGGUAAAGGCUCACCAAGGCGAUGAUACAUAGCCGACCUGAGAGGGUGAUCGGCCACAUUGGGACUGAGACACGGCCCAAACUCCUACGGGAGGCAGCAGUAGGGAAUCUUCGGCAAUGGACGAAAGUCUGACCGAGCAACGCCGCGUGAGUGAAGAAGGUUUUCGGAUCGUAAAACUCUGUUGGUAGAGAAGAACGUUGGUGAGAGUGGAAAGCUCAUCAAGUGACGGUAACUACCCAGAAAGGGACGGCUAACUACGUGCCAGCAGCCGCGGUAAUACGUAGGUCCCGAGCGUUGUCCGGAUUUAUUGGGCGUAAAGCGAGCGCAGGUGGUUUAUUAAGUCUGGUGUAAAAGGCAGUGGCUCAACCAUUGUGUGCAUUGGAAACUGGUAGACUUGAGUGCAAGAGAGGAGAGUGGAAUUCCAUGUGUAGCGGUGAAAAUGGUAGAUAUAUGGAGGAACACCCGUGGCGAAAGCGGCUCUCUGGGCUGUGAAUGACACUGAAGGUCGAAAGCGUGGGGAGCAAACAAGAAUAUAUACCCUGGUAGUCCCCCGCCUAAAACAUGAAUGGUAAAUGUAAGGGAGCUUAAAUUCUCUGGAUCCCAACCUUAAGCAAUAAACACUCCGCCCUGGGGAGGACCAAACCCCAGGGUUAAAA